CAGUCGCCGCGGUAAUACGAAGGGUGCAAGCGUUACUUGGAAUUACUGGGCGUAAAGCGUGCGUAGGUGGUGGUUUAAGUCCGUUGUGAAAGCCCUGGGCUCAACCUGGGAAUUGCAGUGGAUACUGGGUCACUAGAGUGUGGUAGAGGAUAGUGGAAUUUCCGGUGUAGCAGUGAAAUGCGUAGAGAUCGGAAGGAACAUCUGUGGCGAAGGCGACUAUCUGGGCCAACACUGACACUGAGGCACGAAAGCGUGGGGAGCAAACAGGAUUAGAUACCCCAGUAGUCCCUGUCUCUUAUAC
rnacentral:rRNA from 1 species